rnacentral:rRNA from 1 species
CAGCAGCCGCGGGAAACCGGAGGGAGCUAGCGUUGUUCGGAAUUACUGGGCGUAAAGCGCACGUAGGCGGCUUGGUAAGUUAGAGGUGAAAGCCCGGAGCUCAACUCCGGAAUCGCCUUUAAGACUGCCGGGCUUGAGUAUGGGAGAGGUGAGUGGAAUUUCCGGUGUAGCGGUGAAAUGCGUAGAUAUCGGAAGGAACACCUGUGGCGAAAGCGGCUCACUGGACCAUAACUGACGCUGAUGCACGAAAGCUAGGGGAGCAAACAGGAUUAGAUACCCCAGUAGUCCCUGUCUCUUAUAC